AGCUCCAAUAGCGUAUAUUAAAGUUGUUGCAGUUAAAACGCUCGUAGUCGGAUUUCGGGGCGGGCCGACCGGUCUGCCGAUGGGUAUGCACUGGCCGGCGCGUCCUUCCACCCGGAGACCGCGCCUACUCUUAACUGAGCGGGCGCGGGAGACGGGUCUUUUACUUUGAAAAAAUCAGAGUGUUUCAAGCAGGCAGUCGCUCUUGCAUGGAUUAGCAUGGGAUAAUGAAAUAGGACUCUGGUGCUAUUUUGUUGGUUUCGAACACCGGAGUAAUGAUUAACAGGGACAGUCAGGGGCACUCGUAUUCCGCCGAGAGAGGUGAAAUUCUCAGACCAGCGGAAGACGAACCACUGCGAAAGCAUUUGCCAGGGAUGUUUUCACUGAUCAAGAACGAAAGUAC
rnacentral:rRNA from 1 species